CAAUCCAACAGAAAAUCCAAACAAGGAAGCGGGUUUCGGCUGUUCUUUCAGUUCCAACAAAACGAAAAAGUAAACAAGUAUUCCAAAGGAAAGCGCUGCCGUUCGGUUCAGGAACGGAGGAUGAGCCACAAACAAGGGUAAAGGGAAAUAAACCAGACUCACAGGACCGUGCCGUCUUACAUGAGCGGUGGAGGUGUUCGUGCUGCAGCUGAUGUCCUUCAGGGCAAAGUCCGGCUUGCGCCGACGGUCGGUAGUCACCAAACGGGGCCAAUUCGUUCCGAUUUGCGUGGGGAAGUCCAACACCUUUCACCAGCCGUCACUGACUUGCCGCCAUAUUGUCUUAGAGGCUGGCUGAUAUGGGGACGUCCAAGGGCCGGCUCUCCCAGCGCGCGGAAAAAAACAACCAUUUUACUGGCUGGAAUGCAGAUGGGCUGAUCGGGCAUGGAGGACUGAGCACAAGACUCCUCCACAAGUCCAUGUUCUAAUUAAAGCUGCAAGCAGCGAUGGACGGGUCCUCGCAUCCACGCUGGUCGGCGAAUCCAUGCACGUCCACCAGGUGGCACUGUGACUGAGAGUGUGUGCCGGCCUCUGAAUCACAUCUGGACCAGAGUUUAAUCACACGUAAAAUUUCAGCCAGAUUGGUAUGGAGCUAGAACAGUCUCAUAAUUCACAAAUGCACACAGAAGAACUCACAAAUGUAAACUGCAAUCCACAAAUGCACACAGAAGAAUUCACACAUGUGAACUGGGAUUCACAAAUGUAAACUGCAAUCCACAAAUAAAUUAAGAAAGUUCACAAAUGUA